CUACGGGUUGCUGCAGUGGGGAAUAUUGGACAAUGGGGGAAACCCUGAUCCAGCAAUGCCGCGUGUGCGAUGAAGGCCUGCGGGUUGUAAAGCACUUUCGGUGGGGAAGAAAUGCUCAAAUAUAAUACAUUUGAGAGCUGACGUUACCCACAGAAGAAGCACCGGCAAACUCUGUGCCAGCAGCCGCGGUAAUACAGAGGGUGCAAGCGUUAAUCGGAGUUACUGGGCGUAAAGGGCGCGUAGGCUGAUGCUUAAGUCGGUUGUGAAAUCCCUGGGCUUAACCUAGGAAUUGCAGUCGAUACUGGGCGUCUAGAGUAUGGUAGAGGAAAGUGGAAUUUUCGGUGUAGUGGUUAAAUACGUAGAUAUCGAAAAGAACACCAGUGGCGAAGGCGACUUUCUGGACCAAUACUGACGCUGAGGCGCGAAAGCAUGGGGAGCAAACAGGAUUAGAUACCCGCGUAGUC
rnacentral:rRNA from 1 species